rnacentral:rRNA from 1 species
UACGUAGGGGGCAAGCGUUGUCCGGAUUUAUUGGGCGUAAAGAGCUCGUAGGCGGUUUGUCACGUCGGAUGUGAAAGCCCGGGGCUUAACCCCGGGUCUGCAUUCGAUACGGGCAGACUAGAGUGUGGUAGGGGAGAUCGGAAUUCCUGGUGUAGCGGUGAAAUGCGCAGAUAUCAGGAGGAACACCGGUGGCGAAGGCGGAUCUCUGGGCCAUUACUGACGCUGAGGAGCGAAAGCGUGGGGAGCGAACAGG